rnacentral:rRNA from 1 species
CCGAACGGAUCGCAUUAUGGUCAUUUUAUAUGGCUGGCGAUAGAUCAUUCAAGUUUCUGACCUAUCAGCUUUCGACGGUAGUGUAUUGGACUACCGUGGCAGUGACGGGUAACGGGGAAUUAGGGUUCGAUUCCGGAGAGGGAGCCUGAGAAACGGCUACCACAUCUAAGGAAGGCAGCAGGCGCGCAAAUUACCCAAUCCUGACUCAGGGAGGUAGUGACAAGAAAUAACAACACUGGAAAUUUUAUUUCUAGUGAUUGGAAUGAUGGGAAUUUAAACCCCUUUCAGAGUAACAAUUGGAGGGCAAGUCUGGUGCCAGCAGCCGCGGUAAUUCCAGCUCCAAUAGCGUAUAUUAAAGUUGUUGCAGUUAAAAAGCUCGUAGUUGGAUGUCUGCUGGAAGCAAUCAGUCCGCCCUAUUUGUAGGGUGUGCACUUGAUGAAUUCUGGCAUCUAUAUCCCAAUAAUAUGAUGGUGUAUACCCUGUGUACACCCAUCUAUAUUGGGAUAAUACCGUUACUUUGAGAAAAUUAGAGUGUUUGAAGCAGGCUAAUUGCCUUGAAUACUGCAGCAUGGAAUAACAAUAUAGGAUUUCGGUUCUAUUUUGUUGGUUUCUAGGACUGAAAUAAUGAUUAAUAGGGACAGUUGGGGGCAUUCGUAUUUAACUGUCAGAGGUGAAAUUCUUAGAUUUGUUAAAGACGAACUACUGCGAAAGCAUUUGCCAAAGAUGUUUUCAUUAAUCAAGAACGAAAGUUAGGGGCUCGAAGACGAUCAGAUACCGUCGUAGUCUUAACCAUAAACUAUGCCGACUAGAGAUAGGAAAAUGUCAUUUUUCUGACUUCUCCUGC